UGAGGACCCCAGCACACCCUGCGACUCUCCAGGACCAGGAGUGAGGACCCCAGCACACCCUGCAGCUCUCCAGGACCAGGAGUGAGGACCCCAGCACACCCUGACAUACCGUACAGAUCAGCGAUAAUAAAGCUCAGAGACGACUAGAUGCAUCAAUCAAUCGACACCAAGUAGGACCCUGGUUCUGUUCUUCCUCUGGGCUUGGGACUCUCAGCUGCUGUGCUGAUGGGCUCUGGGGCUUUUGGAGGUUAAUGCUUAUGCUUGAACGACCAAGCACAGGACCUACAGCAAUAUCCGAGGUGCUGCAGCCACCAACGUGAGCCUUCACGGAUGGUGUGACCAUCACUGAGGGGAGAUGGACGCUUGAAGGCAGAUCCGUUGCCUGAGUAUGUGACCUUCAAGUCCAGCACUUUGCAGGUAUUGGCCCACAGCAGAAAGGCCAACCGCAAGGUGCCUGAUGACAUUGGGCUCAAAAUGGCUGGAGAGUGGAUUCCAACUCCAGCAGAGAAGCCAGUUGGAAGCCUGCUCACCGUGUGACACAGUGAUUGUGAAGAGGACCACACACACCACACACACGACUGCAUGCAGAGGGUGAAGAAGGGUGGUGUCUCUGUGUAACCCAGGACGUCCUCUAACUCUUUCUGGUGUAUGAACUCCCGUGCUACGAAACUGCAAGGAAAUGCGUGGGGCCUGCUGGAAUUGAGGUUGACACUGUGACUCAUUGGGAAUUGCUGUGGACUGAGAGGUAAUAAUCUGACCUGAGGGGGCACCUUGAUAUCCUUCCUGCAACUCUCAGGCUAUGUCAGUGGAGUCAACGAAGGGUGUUACAAUCCAACCUGGUAAGGCCAUGACAAAGGAGGGAGACCACACACAGAAAUGACAAGUUAAAAAGAGUUAUGCUAAAUUAGCACAGACAAGACAAACAUGGUGUGUGAAUCAUCAGUAGUGUAGUUGAGCGGAAGACCAUGGUGAACCAUUGUUGUGUUGCACAAACCCAGAGAGAGAGCUCCCUCAGUCUGGAGACUGGCCCUUCUUAAACUCAGGGAGCCCUGGCCACAAGUGCCCCAAAAUUACUCCCAACGACCCUCUGCUCCACCCACCAGACACCUGUGAGAGACACGUGAGCAGCACAGGCAGACCCAAAAGAACUCAGUUCUUGGUGCUGAUGGUGCCGUGAGAAGAGAUGGUUGAGGAAGCUGAUGAAAGGAGCCUGCCUAAGUGUGGAUCGUGGAUGAGAGGAGGGAGAAGAGAGUGCCUUUGAGUGGAAAUGGGGGUAAGAUGUUUCUGAGAACGACCUGGACCUGGAUGACCGUGAUGAGUCUGGGAGUGAAGUGCCAUUCAGCUGAUCAGGAGGAAGAGGAUGCACGAGGAGGAAGAGUGGAUUCCAAUUCAAACCGGAGCCAGUACGAAGCCUGGACCCAAUUCUUUAAAAAGCCACUCAGGGAAUUGGAUGAGCCACCCAACUCGGGCCGCAGCUGAAGCAGCUGAAGAAGAUGUAUCUGACAGCACCAGACCAACUACUGAUGGAGGGACCUCCUCUGUGGAUGGAGACCGGAGCAGUGGACAAGCAACUAAUGGACAUGUCAUUCUGUACUGCAA